GUGGUCUUAGCUUAAUUAAAGUGUUUGAGUUGCAGUCAGGUGAUGUAGGCGAGAGUUCUACAGGCCUUCC
rnacentral:tRNA from 1 species